rnacentral:tRNA from 1 species
GGUUAUGGCUCAGUGGUACAGCACUUGCCUAGCAUGUGUGAUGCCCUGCGUUCAAUCCUCAGCACCA